GUAGUAGCAAAUAUUCAAAUGAAAACUUUGAAGGUCGAAGAAGGGAAAGAUUUCAAGUGAACGACACUUGCACAUGGGUUAGUCGAUCCUAAGGGUUGAGGAAACCCCGACAGAUAGCGCGUUUUGCGGUACUCCGAAGGGGAAUAGGGUUAAAAUUCUUUAACUAGGAUAUGGUGGUCGACAAAAAUAUUGGGAAGUUCAGAGACGUCGGUCGGAGCCUCGGGAAGAGUUAUCUUUUCUGUUUAACAGCCUGCCCACCCUGGAAUCGAGAGUUGUUCACCAAAUUCAGCAAGUGUGAAUUUUGGAUAAGGUCAGUAACUUUUCUUGGCCAUAUUAUUUCCGGUAAUGUCAUUAGAGUUGAUCCUCAAAAGAUCGAAGCAGUGAGAAAUUAGCCUAGACCCAUCUCUCCAUAUGACAUUAGGAGUUUCUUAGGUUUAGCCGGUUAUUACC
rfam:Capsicum annuum cultivar Zunla-1 chromosome 1, whole genome shotgun sequence